CCGGCGCACGGGUGAGUAACGCGUAUGCAACUUACCUAUCAGAGGGGAUAACCCGGCGAAAGUCGGACUAAUACCGCAUGAAGCAGGGAUCCCGCAUGGGAAUAUUUGCUAAAGAUUCAUCGCUGAUAGAUAGGCAUGCGUUCCAUUAGGCAGUUGGCGGGGUAACGGCCCACCAAACCGACGAUGGAUAGGGGUUCUGAGAGGAAGGUCCCCCACAUUGGUACUGAGACACGGACCAA
rnacentral:rRNA from 1 species